GCACUAGCAUGAGCAGUAAGAUCGCCGAGCUGUCGGGCAGAAUACUGUCGCAGCAGCAGUACUCACAAAUUUUAGAGCAGCGCAGGUGGCUGCAAGGGUUGCUCAAAGGGGUUUCUCUUGAUAUGGGUGCAAAGGAGGAAGAGAAAAGCGCUUCUCCCGUUGUGUUGCCAUAUGGUUCUAUUGUGUCUGGCACCUCGUUUACAGACGGUGACGCGGAUUACAUAGUUUCUUUCCCAAUUGUCUCUGAAAGCACGCGACAAAGCGGCGCAUGCGUCAUUGCACGUGAACGCCAGGAAAAGUGCCUUUCCGACAUAUUCUCUCACAUUCGCAAAUGCAACAGCGACGUCGAGUUGCACCCACAGCGCAUUUUUCGUGCAAGAGUGCCAAUAGUGCAGUACGUGCGUAAAAGUGCCCAGGAGAGCACCAAAUUUGAUCUUUCUCUCUCGUUGGACGGGCUGAAGAAUUCUUUGCUACUGAGGCACUACAUGGCAGGUGAUCCUCGACUUCGGCUGGGGGUGCUAGGCGCCAAGCAGUGGGGGCGCGAGCAGCAAAUACUGAACGCGCGGCGAGGCUGGAUCUCACCGUACGCCCUGUCCAUCAUGUACAUUCAUUUUAUGAAGGAUACAGGCCGCACAGCUCUUUCUUUUGACGAGGAGGCAGUUAGUCAACGAGUGAAUGCGAUCGUAUCCACGGCAGCGGAGUCCGAAGGCGAUAUCAGCCAUGUUGAUGAGUUAGCCUCCAUCUUGCCUCUGCAGGAAGCCGAUAUCUCACUUGUGGAAAAGGAUGUGCUUGAUUUCUUCGCUUUUUACGGUACUCCUGGUGGAUUUGACUUCGACGCUUCUGUAGUCGAUAUCCGCUCGCGAGAACGCUUCUCCACUAAAGACCAAUGGUGCCAGUUCCUAGAUCAACUUGACGAGAAGGAGCGCUGGCACCUUCUGGGCCACGAAGUAAUCCUUCUCCGAGAUCCGUUUGAGCCUCAUAGCCUAGGCCGAAGCGUUGAUUUCUUUCGAGGAGAGGAGAUCAGAGAGAAGUUCCGCUCCGCUGCUGUGAAGAAAGAGCCACUUUCACUUUUCGCGUCUCUUUGAGUCACGCUGCUACGGUAGUACAAGAGGCACGACACUAGCGGUAGUUGCGCUUGUGCACCGACGACUGCUGUUCUGAUGCACAAGCACGUAGUAAAAAUCGUGUUAUUUAAACGGAAUAGCUGUGGGGGUCAAUGUGCCUGUACCAUGUCAGGAAAGAUCGAGAAAGAGGGAAAGAUGGAAUGUGGGGACAUAUUUAUCGCACUGGAUAGCUUGCGGCUAGCGCUUGAACGAUGCUUCUCAGCCCUACUCUUUCUUUUGUGUCGUACGCGUUGCAAAGCAGUGGACAAGAAAAUGCGAAGCUGUGAAAGCUGACCUCUCAGUACCACCUUAGCGUUUGUGACGCCUUUGGGGGAACGAAAGAAAUCCCGCAUUCAAGGUUACAUUGAUUCAAUAGCUUGCCCUGUUGCCAUUGAAUAAAAAAUUAUGUUUGUCCUUUCCUAUUCUCUUUUUUUUUCCCGGAACACCUCUCUGCGUGCUUAAAAUUUCUACGCGAACCAAACAAAAUGACGAGAUGAGGUGUUCCCCCCUUUUUAUCCCCCGCAUUCACACCGACGUAG
rnacentral:misc_RNA from 1 species